UACGAAAGGUGCAAGCGUUACUCAGAAUCACUGGGCGUAAAGCGCACGUAGGCGGACUCGCAGGUCAAUUGUGAAAUACCUGGGCUCAACCCGGGAACUGCAGUUGAAACCGCUUGUCUUGAAUACCUGAGAGGGUGGGGGAAUACCUGGUGGAGAAGUGAAAUUCGUAGAGAUCAGGUGGAACACCGGAGGCGAAGGCGCCUGCCUGGCAGUGUAUUGACGCUGAGGUGCGAAAGUGCGGGGAGCAAACAGG
rnacentral:rRNA from 1 species